ACUUUCUAUAUUUAUAUUUUGAUUUUGUAGACAGUUAAUGUUUGACCUGUGUAGUGUCAAAUUUGCUAGUUAUUUUGAAUUAUGCAGUGGAUUGUCUUCAUUUCUUGAAUCAGUUAGUCUUUUGGCUUUUUGAUCACAGUUUAAACUUUACUUGAACAUAAUUUAACACCUGAUGGAUGCUUCGAAGUGACAAUCAUGAUGCCUAGAGGAUACACAGACAUUCAAAGCUCUCAGGGGAUUCAACUGUUGGGGAAAUGCAUUAAUAAAAGCCUGAAUAACUCUUCAGUUCUUUAGAAAGAUCACGGACAUUGUUACCCAAAAGUCCAGAGAACUUUGAGUAAAAUCAUCUCUUAUUUGAUGUUUUUCUUACUGGAUGCUCCGUGUGGAUAGCUGUUAACCUGAAGGUCAUUGUACAAAAGUCAGGAAGUAACACCGCUGGCAGCCCAGUGCAGCAUGGUGACAGGCCCACUUAUCACUGUUAAGUUUGGAGUGAAGGUCUCCUAUUAACUGCACACCCUCCUUAAUCACAGUUGUAUUCAAAUAUGUAAGAGAAAAAAUUACUCAUACCUCAGUCACACUGUAAAAUUUAAAAAAACAUAUCACAAAAUUAAGCUAGCUAGCCAAAUAGCAUUCUUGGAGAGCCUCACCCCCCUGCAGUCUAUUAAAGAGCUUAACAGAUGCAUGGAGGCUGAAGCAAAAAGGCAGCUUUAUGCGCAUGUUAUAUAUCGCAUGUUAUAUAUAUAUAACUCUUUAAAAAAAAAAAAAAAAAAAAAAAAUAUAAAAAAAAAAAACACCCAGCACGCCCCUGCAGGCGGUUUAUCCUUCAAGCUCGGGUCCUCUACCAGAGGCCUGGGAGCUUGAGGGUCCUGCGCAGUAUCUUAGCUGUUCCCAGGACUGCGCUCUUCUGGACAGAGAUCUCCGAUGUUGUUCCCGGGAUCUGCUGGAGCCACUCGCCUAGCUUGGGAGUCACCGCACCUAGUGCUCCGAUUACCACGGGGACCACCGUUACCUUCACCCUCCACAUCCUCUUGAGCUCUUCUCUGAGCCCUUGGUAUUUCUCCAGCUUCUCGUGUUCCUUCUUCCUGAUAUUGCUGUCAUUCGGAACCGCUACAUCGAUCACUACGGCCGUCUUCUUCUGUUUGUCUACCACCACUAUGUCCGGUUGGUUAGCCACCACCAUUUUGUCCGUCUGUAUCUGGAAGUCCCACAGGAUCUUAGCUCGGUCAUUCUCCACCACCCUUGGGGGCAUCUCCCAUUUUGACCUCGGGACUUCUAGGUUAUACUCGGC
ensembl:lncRNA